rnacentral:lncRNA from 1 species
UGCCAUUUUGGGUAAAUCAGUAUUACACAAGCCUAUUAAUAUCAAACCUCCCCUUCCAUAGACUUGGAUGGGGAGGAGAUCUGUUCUGUGCACCGCAGGUCAGCCUGGGUGUUCGUUAACAGACAUUACUGGUUAUUCUCAUGUUUAUGCUUGUCUCCCUAGUCAUUUGCUCUGUUUUCUCCAGGGGUUUAAAUGCUGCUAUGCAGCCACUCACUCGACAAAUGAUUGAAAUAUAUAUAACUACAAAGAAAACCAUCACAAGACGCUUUGAUGGCAGUCAUCAACAGCCAGGCUGAGGCUGUUCUUGGAGUGGUGUAGAUCAGGAGUUCUGAAAACAACAACAACAACAACAACAACAAUAACAACAACAACAACAACGUAUGGUCAACUGAUGAGACUCAGAAUCUCUGUGGGCCAAGAAGUGAGACUUGUUUUGUAGCUCACCGUGAGAAGAUUUGAAAUGAAGAGUUCAAAGAACUGGUCUCUGAUGAAUGGCAUUGGGAUGGUGAGGUCUGGAAAAAGAUGGGAAAAAGGACUUCAGCUUUCAUCAAGAGCCCUUCUCUAACAAACACUAGAUGUAUUAUUUCGUGUAUUCAUUAUUCUGAUAAAACGUGAAAAAUCAUAUGAAAAUAGAGUAUAAAUAAUUCUAUUAAUCUGAAACAAUUUAGUUCUUUAGAAUGUGUCUUAAUAUAUUAUUCUUCAGUAUAGUAUUGUUUUACAUAUACAAAAACUACUGAAUUAUCAUAGUAAAACAUACAAACAAUUUUGAUACAGUAAAUGUUUCUCUUAACUUUGAUCAAACUUUAUUUGCCACUCUGGUAAUAUUCUCUAGUUGGUCCUAUGAGACCAUUAUCUAUACUCUUAAAUUAUACAUAUAGGUACCUAGAGCAGCUUGUUUGAUUUUAUUUGUGUAUAUAACUUUAACAUAAAUAGACCCCUCUAAAUAUCAAUAUGGAAUUCUUUUUUAACUUGUUGAUAUAUUUCAGUGAGAGUUUAAUUUCAGUAUGCAUAGAUUUGCCUUAUGGUACAUUUCUUUUUGUGCUCUUUAUUUUUUUCAUAUUUAGGAGAAGAAUUUCUAGACAAUAGGAUAUAGGCACUUUGAACUUUAUACUCUUUCACAGACUAUAUGAAAAUGCAUGUUUUCCCAAAUCUUCACCUAUAAAGGGUGAAAUACAAUGUAUCACAAUACUAUGUCAAUAUAUUAUUGCUCUAUUGUGGUUUGAUUUUAAAUUCCUUGAUUCAUAUUCUGUUACAUUAUUUGAUUUACUUUUCAUUUUGCUGGAGUACUUAAGUUACUUUUAAGCAAAUGCAUGGUGAUGGAAUAAAUGUUUUGACUACUUAAAUGUCUGAAGUCUAUGAUAACAAAUUUUUAAUUUUAGAUGAAAUGAAGAAAUUUCAAGAAAACUGCAACUUACUAAAACUGACACAAGAAGAAAGUCUAAAAUUUUUCAUAUUUAUGUAAUUGAAUCUGUUACAAAUGAAAGGAAGGAUUUCUUUAUAUAUUCUGGAUAGUAAUCACUUUUUAUAAUACAUGUUUGAAAUACCUUUCACCCACUUGUCACUUGACUUUUAAUACCCUCUAUGGUGCUCUCUGACACAUAGAAGUUUUAAAAAUGUAAGUAGAAUGUCCAAGAUAUUACUAGUGUUUCCUGAUGUGCCUUGUUCAUCUUACCUUUUGGGAAAACAGAAGGUUGCUUGGUCUGUUUCCUGUUAAUUUAGGCAUGGCCAUGUGACUGUCUUUGCCCAGUGACAUGUCACUUCCAGGGGAAAUCAUUUGAGUCAGUUUACAAUUCUCCAUGUCGUUCUUUCCCUAGAGCAUUGACCAAGGUGGUGUAUAUUCUAAAUGGUACAGCUAUUCAAUAGCGGAGGAAUAGAAAAAAAUAGCAAACAAAUGAUAAGAAUGUAGAUUUAAACCCUGUUAUUGAUGAAAUACUUAAACACAUUAAAAAACAGUGCCACUGGAUAAAAAAGAAAGUCUUACUAUUAUAAUAUAUGCUGCUUCCUAGAGAUAUGUCUUAAAUAUAAGAAACCAGAAGGUUAAAAAUAAAAGUAUGGAAAAGCAUGUUCAGAAAAACCUAAUAAAACAAAUCUACCUUGAAUAUGCCAAUAUUAGAUUAAGUCUAUUUUAAGGAAAGAAGCAUUACUAGAGAUAAAAAAUUCAUCAUAAUUAAAGGGUCAAACAACUAGGGAGACUUAACAAUUCUUAAUUAAAAUGAAAACCUAAUUGCAUAGCUCAAAUAAUAUACAUAUAUAAAGAAAAGCACAUAAAGCCAAAAUUGAUACAAAUAAAAAUAUACAGAUCUACACUUGUCUCAGAAAGUGAUACAACAAACAGAUGCAAUAUUGGUAAGGACAUAGAAGAGCUCAACGCUUUGUUCCACAGCAUGAUUGAUAUGUAUAAAAUACUGCACCCAUCAAUUCAGUGAUGUACUCCUUUUAAGUACUCACAGAUUAUUUAACUAAAUUGCUCAUGUUUAGGGCUACAAAGCAAGUCAACAGAUUGCAAGCAAUUAAAAGCUUGCAGAGUAUGUCUAUUGACCAUAGCUCAAAUAAACUAGACAUAAAAACAAAAUGCUAGAUAGACAGUACCCAAAUGUUUUAAAAUUAAACAACUUACCCUUAAAUAACCCAAGAAAUGGAAUCUGUUAUAAAUGAAAAGAGAAGGAGUGUCUAGAAGUCAGUAGAUUUUAAUAGUUAAGGAAGCUUGAGACCUAAAAGAACAAGUGUUUCUUUCACAAAUGGAUGUGAAUUGCACUACGGAGUAGGAGAGACUCCAGUACCACCUCUGGAACUUGAGGGCUCCGAGGUGUAAAAAUGAAUAUUCUUUACUACAGAGAGCAGCAGAGAACCUGUACUAUCAGAGGAGAGUUCUAUUUCAAUUGGGAGAGAAAAUUAGAGGCACAUAUUGGUGAAGAAGCUUAGGAUUUUUUGAAAUACCUGAAAUUCAGAAACAUAAUUAUGAAUACACAUAUUACUAGAAAAUUUCAAUGCAGGUUAAAGGUAGUGACAGGCAAAUGCUGUGUUUAAAUAAAAAAUUGAUCUUACUCUUUUGGUAUUUAUUUUGAUGACUUUAAAAUUGCCAGAGGGUUCAACAGACAUCCCUAAUCAUUUCCAUCCAACUUCUAGCUAUUCCCAAAGCCUUAUCCACCCAGAAAUACAAUCAUUAAGGUUUACUGGGCUGAAGUGUGGGAGGGAAUGUAAGUGUCUGCUGUAUACAUUUAUGAGGUAAUGAAUUUUUUUAAAAGAUUAAAAGUUUAAGGUUUUUUUGUUUAGAUUGUUUGAAAACAUCCACUCUCCUAAUGUAAGUACCUCUGUGGAUAUAGCCAUAUCAAAAUAGUUAUGACAAAAUUUCAGGUAUUUCUAUUGGAAUAUAGGACAGUGGACAGGGAAGAGUUAAAUCAGCUGGCCUACUCUAUUUAUUCACACUAUUCAUGUCCUAUCGUGGGGAUGGUGUUGGGGUAUAGACCUGGGGGAACUAAAAGCAGACAGGCAACCCGGGUAACUUUGUCAGUAUGCUAACCAGACUUUCUAGUAAAUAGAUUAAUAAUAUUUGCUAGAACAUCCUUAUCUAUGGGAUCUUCUUAACAAGAUAUCUCUGUUUAAGGAUUGCCAGUAUGUCACAUAAACUGGGAUAUAAAAUGGACGUGUUUCAUAAAUGGAACAUCCUCACCGUGAGGAAUAAUCUUUAAAUAACUUUAUUACUGUGGGCCGCAGAGCACUUGUCUGAUGUCAAAAAGGAAGAUGUGGGAACCAUUCUCAAAACUCCAGGCCUCUAUUUAUUUCCAUUUGAGCCUCUUGAUUGCCUAUAUCUUUAACUUGAUUAGUAAAAUCUGUUAAUGGGCAAGAUCCUUGAUUCAUUUGAGUUUGAAAUGAUAAUGUGUUCCUUUAUGUUUUCUCAGGCAUCUCUGUGAGUCUGUGGUUUCAGAAAAGACUUUUUGUAAGAGCUAAGUCUGAAAGCCUUAGCUCAGUUUGCUUAGUCAAGAAGGGUGCAGCUGGAUAAAAAGAACAUGAACAAAAUUUUUAAAAAAGCCCAAAUAAUGGAACAACAAAAAAACUGUGAAGGAUAGUGUCAUUGGGAGUGACAAGAGGUAAGUUUACAAAACAGGACAGGGCCAGAUCAUGCUUAGGCCAACUUGUGAGAGGUGGCCUUCCUUGGCAUUCACAGCAGACACACCCAGAACUGCAGAGAGAGCAGGUGGAACCUCUGCAGAUGCUAUUUUGAAGGUAAGCAGAGAGACUGGCGAGGCAGCCGUUCCAGCAGCUCAGUUGAGAAAUGACCUGGGCUGAACCAGGAUAGGGAUGCAGCAGAAGGAAUGCUUUUGUAAACCAUUUGGGAGGGAAAACUUUUAGGUCUUGCCUGUUGAUUGGGCAUGAGGCUUGAGGCAGAGAACAGAGUCGAACUGAGAACAAACUUUCUAGCUGGAAUGGCGGAUGAGAUGGUGAGGCUGUGGCCUGAAAGAGUUCAUGCAGGAGGAGAAAGGAAUUCAGGAGGUGUAUGAUAAAAGUUCUGUUUCAAACACCUAAAGCUUGAGGUGCCUGUGGGGUAUGGAGGUGGAUAUUUCCAAGAUGUGUCUGAGCCAUGAGAACCCAGAGAAGCUCACAUGUAAGGUCUAGAGCAAAUGUGGGCAUCAUAUGUAUAUAGUUUGCAGUUCAAACUCUGGGAGAGGACGAGAUUGCCGGUGAACAAAGAAUACAAUAAAAAGGCCAGAGCACUCACGGGCUAGUUUGUAAUUUUUAUUGAGCACGAAUGUGUUUAUCACUGGAUUCUUCAGGACUCUGUAGUUAAAUAAGGUAACUGUAUUGUGAGCCUUGUAUUUAGAGAAUAUAUAGGAUUGAUCUUCCUGGUUUACUCUGAGGAUCUGUAUAUUGAUAAAAUGUGAUUAUAUUAUAUAGUUUCCAGAAGAGAUAAUUUAUAUCAUGUACAAUGAUGAUAUAGCUUGUUUGAUGUCAUUAUUCUAAUAAAUAGGAAAUCCAGCUUAUCUGCAAAUCAUACUUAUGCUUCUCUCUUUAUCAGCAUGUACUCAAUAAGCACUUGGUAAUUGUAUGUUAUAUAAAUGAAGCUAUGCAUAUGUAAUGUCCGUCAUGUUAUUUGGAAGGGGGCAUCUGUGCUAAACAAGCUAAACACUUUUAUUACCAAAAACAUCAAGGAAUGCAAAUACCAUAACUUCCUGCAAGUUGUUUAUUGCCUAUGAAAAGUAGCUAAAAAGUAUUAUAUAUUGCCAUUUCAUCAUUCCAUGAGAUUACUUUAUUGUUAAGUUGAAGUGACUGCUGGCUUUAUUAAACUCAGUGCAAUAUUGGAUUUCAUUACAAAUUUUCAUUUUCAUAGUGAUAAUGUCUUCCGCAAUACAACACUCUUCAUUUAUUACUUCAUUUUCACUUCUUUUUAGCUUUUGUUUUCAUACAAACUCUAAAAUGAAUAAGCUCAGGGAAAGCCUCUUGUGACUAAAGAUUUCUUAUACUUCAACCUUUGGAAAAUUUACAUAAACAUUACUUGUCAUCCCAUUGUGAUAUGGGCAUAUGAGAUUUGAUUCUCAUUUUGGGAAAUAUUUUGUCACAACAAGAAAGGGCUUUGCUUUCUCUUCAAUUUUUGUUAGAGAUGGUGAAAAUUUGACCUCCAAACUAUUAUUCAUAGUAUGGAGAGAAAUGAAUAUCAGAAUUAACAAGCUCAGAAUGCUGGAAUCAAGCUGUUAAACACGACAGAUCAUUUUAGUUUUAAUAGCCUUUUAUUGUAAAUUAUUUUACAAUACAAAUUGCUUUCUUAACUUUUGUAUUUCUGAUAAUCUUGAUAUUUCCUUGGCUGAUAUUUAAUGUUUUAUGUUGUAUCCUUCCUUUUUCUAGAGCUAUUUGUGGUAGGUCUCAAUUGCUCUCCAUUAUUGAGACCUUUCUCCUUGGGAAUAAAAUUUCUCUUCAUUUAAAAAUCCAGUCAUUUUAAUGUAGUGUUACAAUGACUUCUCACUCAACAACAGCGUUUUGGAUAAAAUGUUAAUUACACCAUGAAACUUCAAUCAUCAUCAUGAUGGCAACACUUGCAUUUUCAUUUUUAAUUCCUUCAGUGAGUUAACUCUUUCUAUUAUGACAGGGUGAUGUAAUGUGAUGGGAAUUUCAAAACAGCCCUGCCUUUGGCAUAAAAUAGCCCAGUGACUUUAGAUCGGUCUUGCAAACAGUCUGGACCUCAGUGUACUCAACGGUAUAAUUAAGGAGUUUAACUUCCUUCCAGGUGACAACUUCUAGAAUUAUUGCUGCAAAGAUCCGGUUAUCCUCACAGGGAGUGAGUGAAAAAAAGUGGGAAGAAACUAACUUAAUUCUAAGAAAUGAGAGGAUUACAGAUCCCAGAAGAUAAUCAAGUGCUUCAAGACAGUUGAUUAAGCCAAAUUAUAUGUGGUAGAGAAAGAUUUGUGGAGCAGUUUCAGAAUAUAUACACAUGUCUGUCUGUUGAAUGUAUUCCUUCCUCUUACAGGAAGGAAUUCCUUCCAGGGUCAUUGUAUGUGAUAAAGAUCACUUGUAAAUGAAAACUUUGGAGGUUACAGAAGAAGUAAAUGUCAGAAAUGAAGGAAAAUAAUAGCAGGUAAAGGAAAGAAAGGGAGGAAUCGCAGAAAUGAGAAAAACUGAAAAGGGAAGAAAGCAGAGACCACUAAUUAGAAGUCGAGCAUCUUGGAGGAUGAAAUUAUGCCAUAAUUUUCUUCCCUUGGUCGUUUUUGAUGUCUUGAGGGGAUCCUAUCAGCAGGAGAUACAGAGAGACUCCUACUGACAUCAGCCUUCAUGCACACAUAUGAAAGGAGAAACCAUGUAGCUGAUCCAGCCUGGAGACCAUCGAUGACAGCCUGGAUGAUGGACACAGGUGAGGGGACUCCAUCAAAGAACAGACAAGACUUUGUUGUAGAAAAACAACAACAACAAAAAAAGAGGCUGACAUCCUAUAAUAAAUUUGUGUUUGGCAGAAUCCUAAGGUGGCCCCAAGAUUCCCACCUCUAGGUGUACAUAUUUUGUAUACUCGCUCACCCUCUGUCUUGAGUGUAGGCAGAACUUGUGAAUAUGAAGGAAUGUCACUCCGUGACAUCUUAGGUUAGAUGACAAAGGUUAUCCCCUCAGGGGAUCUUGAUUAUAGCUGCAAAAUCCCCUUUGUCAUCCCCUUUAAAUUAAUCAAAAGGGAAUAUGAGAGUGGUCUGCAGAUAACAAGUAGCAAGAAAAUGAAGACUUCGGUCCUGCAGCUGCAAGGAAACAAAUUCUGCCGACAAACGCGAGAAACUUUGCAGUGAAUCUUUUCCUGGUCAAGCAUCCAGGUUGAGAACUCAGCUCAGCCAAGACCUUGAUUUCAGACUUGUGAGAGCUUGCAUGGAGAACUCAGUGACUGUCUGUAGUUUAGGAGUUAAUUUUCUCACUCUGUGUAUUAACUGAGUCUGCUUGUAAUUUAUUGUUUCUGACUUUUUUAAAAAACUGUAAAUAUUCAUUGACUUUCUAACGGAUUGCCUUUGAUUGAUCGAUUGGUGAUGGAUGCUAAUGGAAUCUGUGACCCAUUCUUUACAAAUUACAGAUUUCAGAAAAGGAGAGAAGCCAAAAACGUUCACUUGAGAGUGUCAUUUGAAGAGGUAAGCCUCCUCAAUUGACAUAUGUGCCCAAACAUUUAGCUGCAUUAUUUUCUGAAGAGCCAGCAGACCAUUCUGGUGACACACUCUUUGCCUUAUUGUUUGCUACAUAAAAACCUGAAUGGAACUAAAUUAUAAACUAGGGCUAUAGAAUAAAUGCAGCAAUGAUGGCUUGAAUGGCUAAAACCUGAGAUGUCACUCUCAAUGAAAGGCAGUGUUUAUUCCACAGCUCAGAGUCACCAAUAGCAUGAGAUACUAAGAAAAUGAAAUAAACCCUAAGUUAGUAAAUUACAAGAAGUCAUUCUCAAAGUCCAUGUCUUGUCUGUCCUUUUGAUCAUAAGGUCAUUAUGAGAUACAAAUACUAACAUAUUUAAAAUUUAAUAAAAAAGAUUUUAAAAUGUAGUUCUCAAGAGUGGUCAGCAACCUUAAAAUUGGGGGCUGCAAACACAUUCCACUGGCAAAGGAUUAUGCAAGAUAAAUUGUUGAACUUUAAAAGACUAAUAAAUUAUAUUGCAGUUAAUUUUAUUAUCUUUUAAUCAACAAUGAAGUGGAUGCACUAUGUUUAAGUUUUUCAAGGAUUUUGAAUAGAAAAUUGUGUUUUCUGGUCAACUCCCAUCACCAAUAUUCUGGACACGAAAUUUGUUCCAUAUAAGAAAGUAGAAGAGAUGGUUCUGCUGUGCAGACACCUUAAAAAAUCCAGAAAUGUGGCAGAGGUGGUGGCCACCACUUGCUCCUCUUUUCUCGAUUUUCUGAGCUGGACUUUUAUUGAAGGAUAUAGGGAAAUUUGAAAAGAAAAUACUGCUUCUAAUCCUGCAGUCAUCUUCUGCUUUGGCUCUUGAGGGUUCGUUAUUCUGGAAGCUGGAAUGACAUUCAGUAGUGUACUCUGAAAAAUGGGAGGAGUUAAUGCGGUUUUUUAAGGUAUGAUUAUGGUCUCCACUUUCCUGUCUAAUUUUCUGUAGGGUAAUUCAACCUGUAUUUCCCCAUCUCUUAAUGAGAAUGAAUAGCUACACAGUCUGUUUCAGGGGCUUUAAUUGUUUCCUAGACAUUGCGGAUCUUUUCUAAUAGUGCUUGUGAUGCUUGAGACAAAGUCCCCAUUCUUGAAUGGUUUCUGCCAAUCCGACUUUGUGAAUAAACUCUAAUGACAAUAUUUUUGAGAAAACCAUCGUAAGAAUGCCAUCAAUGUCUUGGAAGUGAA